GGGCUUCAGAAAACUCCUGGCUGCAGUUUGGUGGAAUUAAGAAAUGAGAUUCACAGUUUCUAUUCUGGCAGUACGGGCCAUCCCCAAUCCAAAAGGAUCUAUGCUUUUCUUGAGACGCUAGUUGACAAGAUCAAAGCUGCUGGUUAUGUACCUGAUACCAAUUCAAUCCAUGAUGUGGAAGAUGAUGUUAAGGAGCAGUUGCUGAACACCCAUAGUGAGAAAUUGGCUAUUGCCUAUGGACUUCUGAAUACAAUCCCAGGAACAUAACCAGCAGCUUUGAUCUUGUCAAC
rnacentral:misc_RNA from 1 species